GGUUAAGCGACUAAGCGUACACGGUGGAUGCCCUGGCAGUCAGAGGCGAUGAAGGACGUGCUAAUCUGCGAUAAGCGUCGGUAAGGUGAUAUGAACCGUUAUAACCGGCGAUUUCCGAAUGGGGAAACCCAGUGUGAUUCGUCACACUAUCAUUAACUGAAUCCAUAGGUUAAUGAGGCGAACCGGGGGAACUGAAACAUCUAAGUAUCCCGAGGAAAAGAAAUCAACCGAGAUUCCCCCAGUAGCGGCGAGCGAACGGGGAGCAGCCCAGAGCCUGAAUCAGUGUGUGUGUUAGUGGAAGCGUCUGGAAAGGCGCGCGAUACAGGGUGACAGCCCCGUACACAAAAAUGCACAUAUUGUGAGCUCGAUGAGUAGGGCGGGACACGUGGUAUCCUGUCUGAAUAUGGGGGGACCAUCCUCCAAGGCUAAAUACUCCUGACUGACCGAUAGUGAACCAGUACCGUGAGGGAAAGGCGAAAAGAACCCCGGCGAGGGGAGUGAAAAAGAACCUGAAACCGUGUACGUACAAGCAGUGGGAGCACAGAGCAAUCUGUGUGACUGCGUACCUUUUGUAUAAUGGGUCAGCGACUUAUAUUCUGUAGCAAGGUUAACCGAAUAGGGGAGCCGAAGGGAAACCGAGUCUUAACUGGGCGUUAAGUUGCAGGGUAUAGACCCGAAACCCGGUGAUCUAGCCAUGGGCAGGUUGAAGGUUGGGUAACACUAACUGGAGGACCGAACCGACUAAUGUUGAAAAAUUAGCGGAUGACUUGUGGCUGGGGGUGAAAGGCCAAUCAAACCGGGAGAUAGCUGGUUCUCCCCGAAAGCUAUUUAGGUAGCGCCUCGUGAAUUCAUCUCCGGGGGUAGAGCACUGUUUCGGCAAGGGGGUCAUCCCGACUUACCAACCCGAUGCAAACUGCGAAUACCGGAGAAUGUUAUCACGGGAGACACACGGCGGGUGCUAACGUCCGUCGUGAAGAGGGAAACAACCCAGACCGCCAGCUAAGGUCCCAAAGUCAUGGUUAAGUGGGAAACGAUGUGGGAAGGCCCAGACAGCCAGGAUGUUGGCUUAGAAGCAGCCAUCAUUUAAAGAAAGCGUAAUAGCUCACUGGUCGAGUCGGCCUGCGCGGAAGAUGUAACGGGGCUAAACCAUGCACCGAAGCUGCGGCAGCGACGCUUAUGCGUUGUUGGGUAGGGGAGCGUUCUGUAAGCCUGUGAAGGUGUGCUGUGAGGCAUGCUGGAGGUAUCAGAAGUGCGAAUGCUGACAUAAGUAACGAUAAAGCGGGUGAAAAGCCCGCUCGCCGGAAGACCAAGGGUUCCUGUCCAACGUUAAUCGGGGCAGGGUGAGUCGACCCCUAAGGCGAGGCCGAAAGGCGUAGUCGAUGGGAAACAGGUUAAUAUUCCUGUACUUGGUGUUACUGCGAAGGGGGACGGAGAAGGCUAUGUUGGUAGGGCGACGGUUGUCCCGGUUUAAGCGUGUAGGCUGGUUUUCCAGGCAAAUCCGGAAAAUCAAGGCUGAGGCGUGAUGACGAGGCACUACGGUGCUGAAGCAACAAAUGCCCUGCUUCCAGGAAAAGCCUCUAAGCAUCAGGUAACAUCAAAUCGUACCCCAAACCGACACAGGUGGUCAGGUAGAGAAUACCAAGGCGCUUGAGAGAACUCGGGUGAAGGAACUAGGCAAAAUGGUGCCGUAACUUCGGGAGAAGGCACGCUGAUAUGUAGGUGAGGUCCCUCGCGGAUGGAGCUGAAAUCAGUCGAAGAUACCAGCUGGCUGCAACUGUUUAUUAAAAACACAGCACUGUGCAAACACGAAAGUGGACGUAUACGGUGUGACGCCUGCCCGGUGCCGGAAGGUUAAUUGAUGGGGUUAGCGGUAACGCGAAGCUCUUGAUCGAAGCCCCGGUAAACGGCGGUACCGUAACUAUAACGGUCCUAAGGUAGCGAAAUUCCUUGUCGGGUAAGUUCCGACCUGCACGAAUGGCGUAAUGAUGGCCAGGCUGUCUCCACCCGAGACUCAGUGAAAUUGAACUCGCUGUGAAGAUGCAGUGUACCCGCGGCAAGACGGAAAGACCCCGUGAACCUUUACUAUAGCUUGACACUGAACAUUGAGCCUUGAUGUGUAGGAUAGGUGGGAGGCUUUGAAGUGUGGACGCCAGUCUGCAUGGAGCCGGCCUUGAAAUACCACCCUUUAAUGUUUGAUGUUCUAACGUUGGCCCCUGAUCGGGGUUGCGGACAGUGUCUGGUGGGUAGUUUGACUGGGGCGGUCUCCUCCUAAAGAGUAACGGAGGAGCACGAAGGUUGGCUAAUCCUGGUCGGACAUCAGGAGGUUAGUGCAAUGGCAUAAGCCAGCUUGACUGCGAGCGUGACGGCGCGAGCAGGUGCGAAAGCAGGUCAUAGUGAUCCGGUGGUUCUGAAUGGAAGGGCCAUCGCUCAACGGAUAAAAGGUACUCCGGGGAUAACAGGCUGAUACCGCCCAAGAGUUCAUAUCGACGGCGGUGUUUGGCACCUCGAUGUCGGCUCAUCACAUCCUGGGGCUGAAGUAGGUCCCAAGGGUAUGGCUGUUCGCCAUUUAAAGUGGUACGCGAGCUGGGUUUAGAACGUCGUGAGACAGUUCGGUCCCUAUCUGCCGUGGGCGCUGGAGAACUGAGGGGGCUGCUCCUAGUACGAGAGGACCGGAGUGGACGCAUCACUGGUGUUCGGGUUGUCAUGCCAAUGGCACUGCCCGGUAGCUAAAUGCGGAAGAGAUAAGUGCUGAAAGCAUCUAAGCACGAAACUUGCCCCGAGAUGAGUUCUCCCUGACCCUUUAAGGGUCCUGAAGGAACGUUGAAGACGACGACGUUGAUAGGCCGGGUGUGUAAGCGCAGCGAUGCGUUGAGCUAACCGGUACUAAUGAACCGUGAGGCUUAACCUU
rnacentral:rRNA from 1 species